rnacentral:rRNA from 1 species
AUUGAACGCUGGCGGAAUGCUUUACACAUGCAAGUCGAGCGGCAGCGCGGGGGCAACCCUGGCGGCGAGCGGCGAACGGGUGAGUAACAUAUCGGAACGUACCCUGUCGUGGGGGAUAACUAUCCGAAAGGAUAGCUAAUACCGCAUACGACCUGAGGGUGAAAGCGGGGGACCGCAAGGCCUCGCGCGAUAGGAGCGGCCGAUAUCGGAUUAGCUAGUUGGUGAGGUAAAGGCUCACCAAGGCGACGAUCCGUAGCGGGUCUGAGAGGACGACCCGCCACACUGGAACUGAGACACGGUCCAGACUCCUACGGGAGGCAGCAGUGGGGAAUUUUGGACAAUGGGCGCAAGCCUGAUCCAGCCAUGCCGCGUGAGUGAAGAAGGCCUCGG